GCCAUGGUCUGUUUGUUUUAUGCAAUUAGGCAUCAGCUGUUCUCCCAGAGAAUAACCCACGACCAAAUAAAGAAUGUGAUGUUUUAAGUACAAUUCAUCUAAGAAGCACUAUCUCCCUGAUGGCACAUCACAAACAGGUGGCACUCAUUUCCAUUACCCUUCAGAAGUUAACAAAAACAUCAUAACGUUUCAUCUGAGAUGCGGCUGAGAAUUAAUGUCCACUUUAUUAUCUCUUUAAACAUUAGUAGAUGAGCAAGGAGAGGAGGAUGUAACUGUUUGCUCUUUUCUUCUUAUAGCCAUGAACAGAAGUAGAAACUUAGCCAGCUAAUGGACAGUGGCACAAAGGUGCCCUACAGUUAUAUUGGAAUGUGUGCAUCUUAUUAUUCAAGUCCCAUCUUGAACAGAUGUCUCAGCUUCUUCAAUCAGGAUUCAGAGCAUUAGAAAGCAGUGCGGCCGCCUAGAUAAAGAAAGAAAUGAGAUAUCUUGGAGAAGGCAAUGGCACCCCACUCCAGUACUCUUACCUGGAAAAUCCCAUGGACGGAGGAGCCUGGUAGGCUGCAGUCCAUGGGGUCACGAAGAGUUGGACACGAUUGAGCGACUUCCUUUCACUUUUCACUUUCAUGCAUUGGAGAAGGAAAUGGCAGCCCAGUCUGGUGUUCUUGCCUGGAGAAUCCCAGGGAUGGGGGAGCCUGGUGAGCUGCCAUCUAUGGGGUCGCACAGAGUUGGACACGACUGAGGUGACUUAGCAGCAGCAAGAAGAUAUCUUAGUGGUUUCAUCAUGUGAAAGUUUGUGGCAGUCAAGUUGCACAUUUAUAUUUAUGAAGAAAAAACACAAUAAAAAUGAAACUGUUAGGGGAACACUAACUGCCAGUUCUUAUCAUGGUCAAGGUUCCCUAUCCACAAUGUGUUGUUCAGCACAGUCUGUUUGAGAAUUGCUGAGUCAUGAUAGAGUUCUUGGCCUUUGUCAUCACCUAUUGAUGGUGCUCUGGAAUUCUCUAGGAAGUCAAUUCCUUCACCCUUUCUUCAUUACUUUAUAUAGUUAAAAUGUUACUAAUUGGUCAAUAUACUUCUGAGAAAUGGAAGUUCACCGUUUUUCCUUUUAUUUUUUUAAUUUAAUUUUUAUUUUAUAUUAGAGUAUAUUCAUGUGUGUGUGAGUGGUCACUCAGUCAC
rnacentral:lncRNA from 1 species